rnacentral:rRNA from 1 species
ACGGGUGAGUAACACGUGGGCAACCUGCCCUUGAGACUGGGAUAACUUCGGGAAACCGGAGCUAAUACCGGAUAAUAUGAGGAACCUCCUGGUUCUUUAUUGAAAGAUGGUUUCGGCUAUCACUUAAGGAUGGGCCCGCGGCGCAUUAGCUAGUUGGUGAGGUAACGGCUCACCAAGGCGACGAUGCGUAGCCGACCUGAGAGGGUGAUCGGCCACACUGGGACUGAGACACGGCCCAGACUCCUACGGGAGGCAGCAGUAGGGAAUCUUCCACAAUGGACGAAAGUCUGAUGGAGCAACGCCGCGUGAGUGAUGAAGGCCUUCGGGCCGUAAAGCUCUGUUGUUAGGGAAGAACAAGUGCGAGAGUAACUGCUCGCACCUUGACGGUACCUAACCAGAAAGCCACGGCUAACUACGUGCCAGCAGCCGCGGUAAUACGUAGGUGGCAAGCGUUAUCCGGAAUUAUUGGGCGUAAAGCGCGCGCAGGUGGUUUCUUAAGUCUGAUGUGAAAGCCCACGGCUCAACCGUGGAGGGUCAUUGGAAACUGGGGAACUUGAGUGCAGAAGAGGAAAGUGGAAUUCC